CAGUUGGGAGCUCGUGGACUUUCUCAACCACUGAAUUUGUCUCAUCUCUUUCUUUGGGAAUUGCUCACACACUUUUGAGAACUGCUUAUGCAUUAAGAUACUAUCAUCAUAUUGCACUAUGGAAAGCUAUGCCAAACUUGCUCUAUAUUUAGUGUCCUUUUACACAUCUUUUGGUUUGUUUUGUGAUUCAUCCACUUGAGGUGAAUUCUCCUCAAGAAUGAGGUGCUUAUAGUAAAUCUUUUAUUGUAGCCAUCCAAACCCUCACUUAAAAUCUAGACAUCUUCAAAAAUGUACAAUAAAGAACAGCAAAUUCAAGCUGAAGUGGAGAAAAGAUUGAAAGUAAUUCCUGAAAACACAUGCAGUAUCAAGAGCUGAAGCAAGUGCUGCGCCUGCUCGUUUUAACCAUAAAGCUGACUGGACAAAGCUCAAAAACCAAUCUUUAUAUAUCACUCGAGGUUACAAUAGCAGCUGUGACAGCUGAUUAUCAGGCAGUGUUUCGGAACGAAAUUUAAAUGACUUGCAUUUGUAAGACCAGCACAAGGACCAUAAAAGGGUGCUUCAGGAUGAUCAGUAUCAAGGAUUCAAGUACAACUUUAUGUUCAUUCAUUAUGAUUGCUGGAUUUGAUAAAUCAUUGACUUGGAUGGACUACAUGAAACCUUAACAUUUUCUGGAACUAUUUCACAGCUUGAGUUGGGCAAUGAAAAUGGAAAAAACUUGAUUUAAAGAAACAAUGUCUUGUUUCAGGGUCUUGCACUCUCCCCAUUAAAAUUCUUUUGUAAAACAAAAGCAUACCAUUUCAUUAAACAAAAUAACUACAUAGGCUCCUCCAUAUGUUAUUUUCUUUAAAGGUCUAUGCAUGUAAAAAAUCUGUAUUGCAUUAAAUAGGAAGCGAAUGUAAAUAUGACACAUGGAAAUUUUCCAGAUGAUUAAACUGUGAAAUACAAUUUAAUACUGAAGAAAAUUUCUCUUCUCUCUCAGCUGACAGCAUGCAUUUCUAUACAGA
rnacentral:lncRNA from 1 species